rnacentral:rRNA from 1 species
GACGAACGCUGGCGGCGUGCUUAACACAUGCAAGUCGAACGGAAAGGCCUGCUUUCCCUUGUGGAUUGCGGGUACUCGAGUGGCGAACCGGUGAGUAACACGUGAGUGAUCUGCCCCCAACUUGGGUAUAAGCCUGGGAAACUGGGUCUAAUUCCCGAUAGGACUGCAGGGUGGUGCCUGUGGUGGAAAACGAUUUUCUAGUGGUUGGGGAUGAGCUCGCGGCCUAUCAGCUUGUUGGUGGGGUAAUGGCCUACCAAGGCGGCGACGGGUAGCCGGCCUGAGAGGGUGGACGGCCACAUUGGGACUGAGAUACGGCCCAGACUCCUACGGGAGGCAGCAGUGGGGAAUAUUGCACAAUGGGCGGAAGCCUGAUGCAGCGACGCCGCGUGGGGGAUGACGGCCUUCGGGUUGUAAACUCCUUUCGACCGCGAGGAAGCCACCUGGUUGGAAGGGUGGUGACGGUAGUGGUAGAAGAAGCACCGGCUAACUACGUG